rnacentral:rRNA from 1 species
UACGGAGGGUGCAAGCGUUAAUCGGAAUUACUGGGCGUAAAGCGUGCGCAGGCGGUUUUGUAAGACGGAUGUGAAAUCCCCGGGCUUAACCUGGGAACUGCAUUCGUGACUGCAAGGCUAGAGUAUGGCAGAGGGGGGUAGAAUUCCACGUGUAGCAGUGAAAUGCGUAGAGAUGUGGAGGAAUACCGAUGGCGAAGGCAGCCCCCUGGGCCAAUACUGACGCUCAUGCACGAAAGCGUGGGGAGCAAACAGG